UUUUGAUGUGAAUCCAGAUCGGCCGUAAGCAGGGAAGUCAGAAACCUGAAUAUUCUUGGGCUACAUUUCGGGCACGAUGCGGGGGUCGCAGUCGUGCGUGAUGGCGACGUGGCCAGUUUUGUGCUGCGCGAGCGCUUCAAUCGUGUGAAGCAUGCCUGCAGCCUGGACGUGGCGCACAUCGACCAUGCGCUGGCCGAUGCAGGCGUCGCCAUUGAUGAUCUCGACUGCUGCGCGAUCGUAUCGACCCAGGGUUACGAGUUGAUCGUCGACGACCGGUCUUCGAUCUCGCUGUCGCUUGAAAAGCAUCCACGGGAUUCUGUUCCAUCGCCGUUGCAAGACCUGUACGUAGCG
rnacentral:misc_RNA from 1 species